rnacentral:rRNA from 1 species
GACGAACGCUGGCGGCGUGCUUAACACAUGCAAGUCGAACGGAAAGGCCCUGCUUUUGUGGGGUGCUCGAGUGGCGAACGGGUGAGUAACACGUGAGUAACCUGCCCUUGACUUUGGGAUAACUUCAGGAAACUGGGGCUAAUACCGGAUAGGAGCUCCUGCUGCAUGGUGGGGGUUGGAAAGUUUCGGCGGUUGGGGAUGGACUCGCGGCUUAUCAGCUUGUUGGUGGGGUAGUGGCUUACCAAGGCUUUGACGGGUAGCCGGCCUGAGAGGGUGACCGGCCACAUUGGGACUGAGAUAGGGCCCAGACUCCUACGGGAGGCAGCAGUGGGGAAUAUUGCACAAUGGGCGGAAGCCGGAUGCAGCAACGCCGCGUGCGGGAUGACGGCCUUCGGGUUGUAAACCGCUUUCGCCUGUGACGAAGCGUGAGUGACGGUAAUGGGUAAAGAAGCACCGGCUAACUACGUG